rnacentral:rRNA from 1 species
AGAGUUUGAUCCUGGCUCCGAACGAACGCUGGCGGCCGGCCUAAUACCUGCCAGUCCAGCGCGCCCCUUCCGGGUGAGCGGCGGACGGGUGAGUAACGCCUAGGAAUAUGCCCUUCUCUAAGGAAUAGCCCCCGGAAACUGAGAGUAAUACCUUAUACGCCCUUCGGGGGAAAGAUUUAUCGGAGAAGGAUUAGCCCGCGUUAGAUUAGGUAGUUGGUGGGGUAAUGGCCUACCAAGCCUACGAUCUAUAGCUGGUUUGAGAGGAUGAUCAGCCACACUGGGACUGAGACACGGCCCAGACUCCUACGGGAGGCAGCAGUAGGGAAUCUUAGACAAUGGGGGAAACCCUGAUCUAGCCAUGCCGCGUGUGUGAUGAAGGCCUUAGGGUCGUAAAGCACUUUCGCCAGAGAUGAUAAUGACAGUAUCUGGUAAAGAAACCCCGGCUAACUCCGUGCCAGCAGCCGCGGUAAUACGGAGGGGGUUAGCGUUGUUCGGAAUUACUGGGCGUAAAGCGUACGUAGGCGGAUUAGUAAGUUAGAGGUGAAAUCUCAGGGCUCAACCCUGGAACUGCCUUUAAUACUGCUAGUCUUGAGUUCGAGAGAGGUAAGUGGAAUUCCGAGUGUAGAGGUGAAAUUCGUAGAUAUUCUGAGGAACACCAGUGGCGAAGGCGGCUUACUGGCUCGAUACUGACGCUGAGGUACGAAAGUGUGGGGAGCAAACAGGAUUAGAUACCCUGGUAGUUCACACCGUAAACGAUGAAUGCCAGACGUCAGCAAGUAUACUU